GGAAGGAUCAUUAACACAUUGUCCAUUUGGAGAUGAUUUAAAGUAAGUUGUCGUAAAAAAGCAAUAUACUUUAAGCAUCUUUCAAACUUAAAGUAAACUGUUGAAGUCUUCAAUAUGUUUUUAACAUAUAGUUGAUUAACUCGUGAUUCACGAUCAAUGAAAAUUUAUUAAUUUACAUUUUCAUUCGACUGAUGUUUCAUAAAAGAAAUAAAAUAUAACCAAGACAACUUGUAACAGUGGAUACCUUGGUUCCCAGGUCGAUGAAGAGCGCAGCUAACUGCGAUAAGUCAUGUGAAUUGCAGAAUUCCGUGAAUCAUCGAACUCUUGAACGCAAAUUGCAUUGUGGUGUUAAACCGCAGUAUGUCUGCUCGAGUGUCGGCAAUAAACAAUCAAUUUAAUUAUUGAUAUUGAGAGUUUAAAUAGGAAACUAAUUAAUCUCUUUAAAUGAAUGGAGUUUGAUUUGUUAAAUUGAUUAAUUAAAUUAAUCUAUUACAAAUUUUCCAAGUGAAUUAAGGCAACUUUAUUGUUACCCCAUUUUCCUUGAUAUAUUUGUAAUUAACUUAUUUAAUUAAUACUUAAACAAUUUCUUAUCAUAAAUACUCCUAAUAUGUUCUAGAAUCAUUUACAAUGGUUCGAAAACAAAUCUAAAUUUAAACCUCGACCUCGAAUUAGACAAGAUCACCCGGUGGACUUAAGCAUAUUAUUAACCGGAGGAAAAGAAACUAACAAGGAUGCCCUUAGUAACGGCGAGUGAAGCGGGCAAAGCUCAAAUUUAAAAUCUGGGUGUCAUUGGCACUCCGAAUUGUAGUUUUUGGAUUGUUAGUCACGGAAUUAUCAACGUUGGGUGUAAGUUCUUUGGAACAAGGCAUCAUAGAGGGUGAGAAUCCCGUAUAUGACCUCGUUGGUAGUUCAAUACGUGUCUAGCUUUUCACGAGUCGGGUUGUUUGGGAUUGCAGCCCUAAAUAGGUGGUAGAUCUCAUCUAAAGCUAAAUAUUCCUGGGAGACCGAUAGCGAAGAAGUAGUGCGAACGAAAGGUGAAAAGAACUUUGAAAAGAAGGUGAAAAGUACUUGAAGCUGUUCCAAGGGAACCGCAUGGCACCAGUGAUUGCUUGUGGGCAAUUCAGCUUGUUCUCUGGUAGUCGUGUUGGACACACGGUGGUGUAUGCCCCGGAGUGCUGAGCGAUCGAAGGAGGGCUUGUGUACUUUGUUCAUGAGCGUGUCAACAUCAGCUUGUCGCGGCGGAGAAAGGCGGGGGGAAGGUAGGCAAGGCUUUCGGGUCUUUCUGUUAUAGCCCCUCGUUGCAUACGUCGCGAUGGACUGAGGAAACAAAACGCAUGCCUCGGCGAGGUAGUGGGCUAGACAUGUUUCCGGGCGUGGUACGUCUGCUUGCAGGGUGCUGCGCUGCGGGGGCAUGCGAGGUUCACCCAUCGGUGCGUUCGGGAUGUUGACGAAAUGGUGUCAUACGACCCGUCUUGAAACACGGACCAAGGAGUCUAACAUGUAUGCGAGUAUUUGGGUGGAAAACCCGCGUGCGAAAUGAAAGUGAGCGAUGUGAGGCCGUUAAACGCUGCAACAUCGACCGACCGUGCUUAGGCUCGGAUCGCGUCAGAGCACACAUGAUGGGACCCGAAAGAUGGUGAACUUUGCGUGCGCAGGGUGAAGCCAGAGGAAACUCUGGUGGAGGCUCGUAGAGAUACUGACGUGCAAAUCGUUCUUCUGACGUGCGUAAAGGGGCGAAAGACUAAUCGAACCAUCUAGUAGCUGGUUUACAC
rnacentral:misc_RNA from 1 species